CAAGGAGAUGACGGCACUGGACCAGAGGCUUGGGGCACUCCGGGAGGCUCUGCAGGACAAGGCCAAGGAAACAAAGAGUGGCCAGGCUGUGGGACCGAGGCACAGAGAGCCAAGACGGCCGAGGGUUUAUCAAGACUGACACCAACGUGACGGUCAAAGUGUUAGAGCAAUAUCUUUCUCUGCUCCGAUUGCAACGCUGCCUCGUUCAAAAAUCAUAACACCGCCGCGGCCGCCACGUUUACCAGCUGGAGCCUCAAAUCAUGUCCCUUUGUGGUGAUAAAGAGGACACAGCCUGGUGUGAAGCUACAUUUAUUACGGAAGGAUGCCAGCCGGGGAUCCAAACACGUCCGAUGUCCAAGAGAAUGUGGCAGCUGAAGGGGAGAGUCCAAGAAAGAGCCCAAGGGUGAAGACAUUUAGCCACUCCCUGAACUACAUGGCAGCAUCCAACCCUCUUGGUGAGCUGCAGGAAUGUGCUCCCCAUUGCAGUGCACCAGCUCCAUGUACUGAUUUUGGUAUGAAUACUUCAUCUAGUGUUUGUUGA